GUGCCAGCAGCCGCGGUAAUACAGAGACUGCAAGCGUUAUUCGGAUUCACUGGGCGUAAAGGGUGCGCAGGCGGCCGAGUGUGUUAGAUGUGAAAUCCCGGGGCUCAACCCCGGAACUGCGUCUAAAACUACUUGGCUAGAGUAUUGGAGAGGGUAUCGGAAUUCACGGUGUAGCAGUGAAAUGCGUAGAUAUCGUGAGGAACACCAGAGGCGAAGGCGGAUACCUGGACAAUUACUGACGCUCAGGCACGAAAGCGUGGGGAGCAAAAGGGAUUAGAAACCCUCGUAGUCC
rnacentral:rRNA from 1 species